CAGCCCCUCCCCGCAGAGACCCCCGCACCCAGUGUCCCACAGCAGAGAGCCAUCCACAGAAGACCCUUUGGAUGGCCUGUACGCCAAAGUCAACAAACAGCGAAGCCUUCCACCUCCUGCUGCAGACAGCAGUAUGGACCGUAUCCAGCAGCUGAGGAGG